CAGCCGCCGCGGUAAAACGAAGGGUGCAAGCGUUACUCGGAAUUACUGGGCGUAAAGCGUGCGUAGGCGGUGAGUUAAGUCUGCUGUGAAAUCCCCGGGCUCAACCUGGGAAUGGCAGUGGAUACUGGCUCGCUAGAGUGUGUCAGAGGAUGGUGGAAUUCCCGGUGUAGCGGUGAAAUGCGUAGAGAUCGGGAGGAACAUCAGUGGCGAAGGCGGCCAUCUGGGACAACACUGACGCUGAGGCACGAAAGCGUGGGGAGCAAACAGGAUUAGAUACCCGUGUAGUCCCUGUCUCUUAUAC
rnacentral:rRNA from 1 species